CAGUCGAGGGGUAUAGCACUUCGGUGCUAGAGACCGGCGCACGGGUGCGUAACGCGUAUGCAAUCUACCUUUUACAGAGGGAUAGCCCAGAGAAAUUUGGAUUAAUACCUCAUAGUAUAGCUGAAUCGCAUGAUUCUACUAUUAAAGUCACAACGGUAAAAGAUGAGCAUGCGUCCCAUUAACUAGUUGGUAAGGUAACGGCUUACCAAGGCUACGAUGGGUAGGGGUCCUGAGAGGGAGAUCCCCCACACUGGUACUGAGACACGGACCAGACUCCUACGGGAGGCAGCAGUGAGGAAUAUUGGACAAUGGGCGCAAGCCUGAUCCAGCCAUGCCGCGUGCAGGAUGACGGUCCUAUGGAUUGUAAACUGCUUUUGUACGAGAAAAAACACUACUUCGUGAAGUAGCUUGACGGUAUCGUAAGAAUAAGGAUCGGCUAACUCCGUGCCAGCAGCCGCGGUAAUACGGAGGAUCCAAGCGUUAUCCGGAAUCAUUGGGUUUAAAGGGUCCGUAGGCGGUUUAGUAAGUCAGUGGUGAAAGCCCAUCGCUCAACGGUGGAACGGCCAUUGAUACUGCUAGACUUGAAUUAUUAGGAAGUAACUAAAAUAUGUAGUGUAGCGGUGAAAUGCUUAGAGAUUACAUGGAAUACCAAUUGCGAAAGGCAGGUUACUACUAAUGGAUUGACGCUGAUGGACGAAAGCGUGGGUAGCGAACAGGAUUAGAUACCCUGG
rnacentral:rRNA from 1 species